UAAAAUCCAUCGAUUCCUUUCUUCACCCGCCGCAAAUGUUCGGAACCCGUGAAUCUAAUUCCAUCGCUAUAAAUUCUUGGGCGUUUUAUAUACGGAGCAUGUCCAGGAUCCGCCUCCGCCUCCUUCGUUGAUUCAUGGUUCGAUGGCCCUCAGGGAUUUCGACUUCUGCUCGAGAUUUUCUGGCUGAUGAUGAGUGAUCUUUAAGAUCUUAGCGGAUUUCAGUGAGGCUUUCUGGUCUAUGAUCUUACCACUGUUGUUACACCCUGCUUACUCUCUUUCACAGCAAAAUGAUUGCUUUCUACCCUGUUGGGGUUCAGAUCAAUUUUGGUGCAAUGGUUGAUUUUCUCUUUACUGAUUCAUGGAUUUUCUAUGUGUUUUAUGCUUUAUUCGGCAAAUGAGGGAUCGGAUGUAGCGAUGAUGAGUUUAUAGUUUGGUGUGGGCAGUGGACAAUGGUGAUAGUAUAUUGUUUGUUAUCUCCGUGAGCCUUUCUCACCAUUAUUACAACUUUUCCUUCCACUGA